CUGCGAUACAGACAAAAACAUUAAUUUGUAAUAAACAAUCUGACAUUCGAAAUAACUAUGAUGAGUAUAAUGAAUCUGUGUCUCGGGGAGUCUUUAUAUGAAUGCAGUGAAUAUCAGUUAUAAUGGCCUGAUCGUGUUCUAUCGCUCAUUGGAAAUACUGUGAAAGAUGUGUAAACAGCAAUCAUAAACACGUUUAUAUUUUGAUUUAUCUGUGGAGUCCAAGGUAGUCAUUGUGUUAUAGAUCUGUUAAAUGUCUGUCUAAACCUGUACAGAUAUAUUGCACCUGGCCAUAUAUACCCUUUAUCAACAUUACACAGCUGUACGUACACAUAACAUAUAUGAUAUUAACUCACACGGAUCUACUCAUCGAAUAUCCUUCAGCCAUGAGAAAGAGAGGUAUUAAAGAUCAGGCUUAGUGCAAGUUACUAAUCAUUGCUUUACUCCGCAAUUUGUUAUCUCGGUAAGGAACGAGUUAGUUCAAUAGAGAAGAAUAAUUAGAGGUUAGAGG